ACAACUGCUAUGACCAAGAGAAAGAUACCAAGGAUUGUAUUGAAGAGAGUUGGAGGAUGGUGUGAUUCCAAUAGUACAAUGGUAUGUAAUACUCACUUGCGAGCUGCCAACCUGAACAUUUACCCAAUUAGUAGGGAAGGCCGUGAUCCCGUCCGGGAUGUCAACGUUAAAUGACUAUGGUUAGGUUCGCCUUGCGUUCAGACCAGAAGAGGAAAUAGUUGUAAAGCUAUUUUAAAUUUAGAGUGGUACCGUGGAUACUUAUAUCCGCCUCUGUU
rnacentral:ncRNA from 1 species